CCUUUGAUCUAAUAAGAUUGGGUUAAUUUAAAUUGGAACCUUAUCCAACGUGGAUCAAUUUCCAAUGGAGAAGGACUCCUCUACACCCACCAGAAGCCAUGGUAAAAGGUAAAUGCCGCCCACCCCUUAUCUGUAUGUGAAAUGAAGAGUCCUUCUUAAAGAAGGCUCUUAACUAUUAUGCGUUGCCAUAAUUUCCCAUCC
rnacentral:lncRNA from 1 species